rnacentral:misc_RNA from 1 species
GAUGAAGAACGUAGCGAAAUGCGAUAAGUAGUGUGAAUUGCAGAAUUCAGUGAAUCAUCGAAUCUUUGAACGCACAUUGCGCCCCUUGGUAUUCCAUGGGGCAUGCCUGUUCGAGCGUCAUUUGUACCUUCAAGCUCAGCUUGGUGUUGGGGCCUGCUGCACUGGCAGCCCUUAAAAUCAGUGGCGGCGCCAUCUGGCUCUAAGCGUAGUAAUUCUUCUCGCUAUGGAGUCCUGGUGGAUGCUUGCCAUCAACCCCCAAUUUUUCUAUGGUUGACCUCGGAUCAGGUAGGGAUACCCGCUGAACUUAAGCAUAUCAAUAAGCGGAGGA